rnacentral:rRNA from 1 species
AACGAACGCUGGCGGCAGGCUUAACACAUGCAAGUCGGGCGGAGAUGAGGUGCUUGCACCUUAUCUUAGCGGCGGACGGGUGAGUAAUGCUUAGGAAUCUGCCUAUUAGUGGGGGACAACAUUCCGAAAGGAAUGCUAAUACCGCAUACGCCCUACGGGGGAAAGCAGGGGAUCUUCGGACCUUGCGCUAAUAGAUGAGCCUAAGUCGGAUUAGCUAGUUGGUGGGGUAAAGGCCUACCAAGGCGACGAUCUGUAGCGGGUCUGAGAGGAUGAGCUGGCACACUGGGACGGAGACACGGCCCAGACUCCUACGGGAGGCAGCAGUGGGGAAUAUUGGACAAUGGGCGGAAGCCUGAUCCAGCCAUGCCGCGUGUGUGAAGAAGGCCUUUUGGUUGUAAAGCACUUUAAGCGAGGAGGAGGCUACCUGGAUUAAUACUCUAGGAUAGUGGACGUUACUCGCAGAAUAAGCACCGGCUAACUCUGUGCCAGCCGCCGCAGUAAAAC